UUUUGGUUUUUUUUUUUUUUUCCAGAGGCCUAGGUUCAUCAUCUCUUCAUUCAAGAUCAAGCCAUAGUCCUCAUAACACAGUCUUUCCCGUUUCUUUGCCACUUUCUCUGCAUUCCACCCACUCACUCCCCACCUCCUUCCCCCUGCAUCACUUCUCUUUACAAGCUCUUGCACUUUUGAAAAGGUUUCAAAAUUAAAUCCUGGCAAACACUUUCUGUACACUUUACAGACUAAAAUGAAUCCUGAUUUCUUCAUCCGUAGACUAGACAGAAAGCAAUAGCAGGGCCCUUAUCCCAUUUAGGAAAGCCAUUUUGUGUGUCUGCUUCUUCUGUGCUCUCAGAAAUACUGCUUUAACAGUGGCCCCUUCUCUAUCCUGGAUGUUCCUCCAGCAGAGAGUUUGAUAGCUGAGAAGGACAACAGCAGCUUCAUUUCAUUUAGUCACAAUAAAUUACUGCUCGCUCUUUUGGCAGAGCAUUUGUGAUGUGCAAAGCCAAGGCUGAUAUUCCUGCAAGUGAAUGCUCUACUCUGAAAGAGCUGCAUGCCAGAUUCCACUAUGCAGCCUGAUGUGUCCUAGUAAAACUCCAAAGCACCUUGUAAGAAGAGAAUCAGACCUAAGGAAAGAGAAACAUGACUACGUCUUGGUUUGCCAUUUGUAAACUACUGAAGGACUAUGAUAAAUGUAAAACUUA